AUGCAUGUCUGUACGCAUUUACAUGUAUGGUGUGUGUACACAUACAUAUACACAUGCUUGCAUAUAUAAAUGCAUGCAUGUAUAUGUGUGUGCAUGAAUAUAUGCAUGCAAGCUUGUAUGUAUAACUGCGUGCAUAUUUGCAUGCACAUGCAU
rnacentral:sRNA from 1 species